rnacentral:lncRNA from 1 species
GCUUCCGCGGGCCCCGGAGCUGGAGCCCUGCUCUGAGCGGGCCGGGCUGAUAUGCGAGUGUCGUCCGCAGGGUUUAGCUGUGAGCAUUCCCACUUCGAGUGGCGGGCGGUGCGGGGGUGAGAGUGCGAGGCCUAGCGGCAACCCCGUAGCCUCGCCUCGUGUCCGGCUUGAGGCCUAGCGUGGUGUCCGCCGCCGCGUGCCACUCCGGCCGCACUAUGCGUUUUUUGUCCUUGCUGCCCUCGAUUGCCUUCCAGCAGCAUGGGCUAACAAAGGGAGGGUGUGGGGCUCACUCUUAAGGAGCCCAUGAAGCUUACGUUGGAUAGGAAUGGAAGGGCAGGAGGGGCGACUGGGGCCCGCCCGCCUUCGGAGCACAUGUCCGACGCCACCUGGAUGGGGCGAGGCCUGUGGCUUUCCGAAGCAAUCGGGCGUGAGUUUAGCCUACCUGGGCCAUGUGGCCCUAGCACUGGGCACGGUCUGGCCUGGCGGUGCCGCGUUCCCUUGCCUCCCAACAAGGGUGAGGCCGUCCCGCCCGGCACCAGUUGCUUGCGCGGAAAGAUGGCCGCUCCCGGGGCCCUGUUGCAAGGAGCUCAAAAUGGAGGACGCGGCAGCCCGGUGGAGCGGGCGGGUGAGUCACCCACACAAAGGAAGAGGGCCUUGCCCCUCGCCGGCCGCUGCUUCCUGUGACCCCGUGGUCUAUCGGCCGCAUAGUCACCUCGGGCUUCUCUUGAGCACCGCUCGUCGCGGCGGGGGGAGGGGAUCUAAUGGCGUUGGAGUUUGUUCACAUUUGGUGGGUGGAGACUAGUCAG